AUUGAACGCUGGCGGCAUGCUUUACACAUGCAAGUCGAACGGUAACAGGCCUUCGGGUGCUGACGAGUGGCGAACGGGUGCGUAAUGCAUCGGAACGUACCCAGAGGUGGGGGAUAACGCAGCGAAAGCUGUGCUAAUACCGCAUGUGAUCUGAGGAUGAAAGCGGGGGACCGAGCAGCAAUGUUUGGCCUCGCGCCUUUGGAGCGGCCGAUGUCGGAUUAGCUAGUUGGUGGGGUAAAGGCCUACCAAGGCGACGAUCCGUAGCUGGUCUGAGAGGACGACCAGCCACACUGGGACUGAGACACGGCCCAGACUCCUACGGGAGGCAGCAGUGGGGAAUUUUGGGCAAUGGGCGCAAGCCUGAUCCAGCAAUGCCGCGUGCGGGAAGAAGGCCUUCGGGUUGUAAACCGCUUUUGGCAGGAACGAAACGGUGUCCGCUAAUACCGGGCGCUAAUGACGGUACCUGCAGAAUAAGCACCGGCUAACUACGUG
rnacentral:rRNA from 1 species